AGGUCUAGCCUGCCCAAUGAGGAUUUAAAUGGCCGCAGUAUUUUGACUGUGCAAAGGUAGCAUAAUUAUUAGUUUUUUAAUUAAAAGCUUGUAUGAAGGGUUGGACGAGAUAAAAUCUGUCUUUAUUUAAAUUAGAAUAUAAUUUAACUUUUAAGUUAAAAGGCUUAGAUUUUUAUAAAAGACGAGAAGACCCUAUAGAUCUUUAUUUAAUUAUUAUUUUAAUAAUUUAGGAUUAUUUUAGUUUAAAAUUUUAAUUGAAUUUUAUUGGGGUAAUAUAAAGAUUAAAGUAAUUCUUUUUAUUUAUUACAUAAAUUUAUGAAUUUGUGAUCCAAUAUUAUUGAUUAUAAGAUUAAGUUACCUUAGGGAUAACAGCGUAAUUUUUUUGGAGAGCUCAUAUCGAUAAAAAAGUUUGCGACCUCGAUGUUGGAUUAAAAAUUAUCUUGGGUGCAGAAGCUCAAGAUUUUGGUCUGUUCGACCAUUAAAUUUUUACAUGAUCUGAGUUCAGACCGGCGUAAGCCAGGUCGGUUUCUAUCUUUAUUUGAUUAGAAUAUUUUAGUACGAAAGGACCAAAUAUUUAAUAUAAUAAUAUUUUAUUUUUGAAUAAUAUUAUUACUUUGGCAGAAUAGUGCAAUGAAUUUAGAAUUCAUGUAUGUAAUUUUAUUACAAGUAAUACUUGUAUUUAGGAGACUUAUUAUUAAUAGUUAUAUGCAUACUAGUUCUCGUAGUUUGUGUAUUGGUGGGAGUGGCUUUUUUAACUCUUUUAGAGCGGAAGGUAUU
rnacentral:rRNA from 1 species